rnacentral:rRNA from 1 species
CAGUCGAGCGACGGACGAGAAGCUUGCUUCUCUGAUGUUAGCGGCGGACGGGUGAGUAACACGUGGAUAACCUACCUAUAAGACUGGGAUAACUUCGGGAAACCGGAGCUAAUACCGGAUAAUAUUUUGAACCGCAUGGUUCAAAAGUGAAAGACGGUCUUGCUGUCACUUAUAGAUGGAUCCGCGCUGCAUUAGCUAGUUGGUAAGGUAACGGCUUACCAAGGCAACGAUGCAUAGCCGACCUGAGAGGGUGAUCGGCCACACUGGAACUGAGACACGGUCCAGACUCCUACGGGAGGCAGCAGUAGGGAAUCUUCCGCAAUGGGCGAAAGCCUGACGGAGCAACGCCGCGUGAGUGAUGAAGGUCUUCGGAUCGUAAAACUCUGUUAUUAGGGAAGAACAUAUGUGUAAGUAACUGUGCACAUCUUGACGGUACCUAAUCAGAAAGCCACGGCUAACUACGUGCCAGCAGCCGCGGUAAUACGUAGGUGGCAAGCGUUAUCCGGAAUUAUUGGGCGUAAAGCGCGCGUAGGCGGUUUUUUAAGUCUGAUGUGAAAGCCCACGGCUCAACCGUGGAGGGUCAUUGGAAACUGGAGAACUUGAGUGCAGAAGAGGAAAGUGGAAUUCCAUGUGUAGCGGUGAAAUGCGCAGAGAUAUGGAGGAACACCAGUGGCGAAGGCGACUUUCUGGUCUGUAACUGACGCUGAUGUGCGAAAGCGUGGGGAUCAAACAGGAUUAGAUACCCUGGUAGUCCACGCCGUACACGAUGAGUGCUAAGUGUUAGGGGGUUUCCGCCCCUUAGUGCUGCAGCUAACGCAUUAAGCACUCCGCCUGGGGAGUACGACCGCAAGGUUGAUACUCAAAGGAAUUGACGGGGACCC